rnacentral:rRNA from 1 species
UACGUAGGGUGCAAGCGUUGUCCGGAAUUAUUGGGCGUAAAGAGCUCGUAGGCGGUUUGUCGCGUCUGCUGUGAAAACCCGAGGCUCAACCUCGGGCCUGCAGUGGGUACGGGCAGACUAGAGUGCGGUAGGGGAGAUUGGAAUUCCUGGUGUAGCGGUGGAAUGCGUAGAUAUCGAGAGGAACACCUGCGGCGAAGGCGGGUUGCUGGGCCGACACUGACGCUGAUGCGCGAAAGCCAGGGGAGCGAACGGG